rfam:Orchesella cincta Ocin01_Sc5093, whole genome shotgun sequence.
CCAACGGCCUUUCUAAAGGCCACCACAUUUUACAAAGAGCCCUAAU